rnacentral:rRNA from 1 species
GAUGAACGCUGGCGGCGUGCUUAACACAUGCAAGUCGAACGAAGAUGCCGGAGUGCUUGCACUUUGGCAGACUGAGUGGCGGACGGGUGAGUAACGCGUGGGUAACCUGCCCUUAUACAGGGGGAUAACAGUUGGAAACGACUGCUAAUACCGCAUAAGCGCACGGUAUCGCAUGAUACAGUGUGAAAAACUCCGGUGGUAUAAGAUGGACCCGCGUCUGAUUAGCUAGUUGGUGAGGUAACGGCCCACCAAGGCGACGAUCAGUAGCCGGCCUGAGAGGGUGAACGGCCACAUUGGGACUGAGACACGGCCCAAACUCCUACGGGAGGCAGCAGUGGGGAAUAUUGCACAAUGGGGGAAACCCUGAUGCAGCGACGCCGCGUGAGUGAUGAAGUAUUUCGGUAUGUAAAACUCUAUCAGCAGGGAAGAUAAUGACGGUACCUGACUAAGAAGCACCGGCUAAAUACGUGCCAGCAGCCGCGGU